UUAAAGGAAUUGACGGAAGGGCACCACAAGAAGUGGGGCUUGCGGCUUAAUUUGACUCAACGCGGGGAAACUCAUCAGGCCAGGACACUGGAAGGAUUGACAGAUUGAGAGCUCUUUCUUGAUUCGGUGGGCGGUGGUGCAUGGCCGUUUCUAGUUGGUGGAGCGAUUUGUCUGCUUAAUUGCGAUAACGAACGAGACCCCUUUCUGCUAAAUAGUCGACUCCGGCAUCCUUGGCGCAGCCGGCGAAACCACAUCUUCUUAGAGGGACAGGCGGCCUCUAGCCGCACGAAACGGGGCCAAAACAGGUCUGUGAUGCCCUUAGAUGUUCUGGGCAGCACGCGUGCCACACUGAAGGAAGCAACGUGUGUGUUCCUAGGCCGAGAGGCCCGGGUAACCCGGUGAGUGUCUUUCGUGCUAGGGAUUGGGGCUUGCAAUUAUUCCCCACGAACGAGGAAUUCCUAGUAAGCGGGAAUCAUUACUUCCCGCUGAUUAUGUCCCUGCCCUUUGUCCACACCGCCCGUCGCUACUACCGAUUGAAUGAUUUAGUAAGGCCUUCGGACCAGCGCGCGGCGUUCGUUCGCGCGCGCCGCGGCGUCGGGAAGAUGCCCGAACUUGAUUAUUUAGAGGAAGUAAAAGUCGUAACAAGGUUCUC
rnacentral:rRNA from 1 species